UGGCCUGUGUUGGCCUCUGCUGUUCCCGAGUAAAGCCAGUCUUGCUGGGGAAAUAACUGGCAGUUUUAUUUUUGAAGUUAACGCCCAGGCGGGGCAGCUCGGGAGUGCGCGAGAAGGGGCUGGGCUGAGGUCCUCCCAGUUCUGGCCAAGGGGACCUGAAGGACACCUGCUGGUGGGGGCAGGUGGUGUCCGCGGAAGUCUUCUUCACCCAGGGAAGGCGGCCGGUAGGAGGCGGUCCAAGCUCUUGCCCCGGCUGGGUGAUUUCGUGAUGCCUUCCCAGAGGAGCUGCUGCAAAGGCCUGCCCUGUGACCGGAUGCGCUCCGCACCCCUGCAGCCUUGUGACCUCCGACCCCUGUGGGCGAGGCACCUGCACUGAAGCCACUUCGGGCAGAGAUUCCGUCACAGGAAGCCGAAGUCACCCUCGCGGGUCCGUUUCGGAACAACCUAAAUAUCUCACCCGAGUAUGUCCCGUGCCUCCCCUCCCGUGGAGCCACGCACCCGUCCCACGGGGACCGGGUUUUGGCUUCCGCGGCCGCUGUGUUCCUGUGACUCCGGGCUGGGAAGAAGGGCCUCGUGGGAUUUCUGAAGGGGUCGGGAGGUGAUGCAGCAGCGCCUUGGCCGAUGUGGAGGCCACAUGUGAUGCCCGGAUCCCUCCGCGGCACCUCCAGGAUGGAAACCUCCGGAAAGCCAGGGAGCAGAAAGGGGGACACAAAGCCCUAAUCUUGUGGAGAAUCCGGGCUUGUUUACAUGAGAGAAUUUCAUUUUCCUUUUUCCCAGUCCCUACGGUGGCAUUUUGUUCGUAGCGGAUUCACCGAUCCCCACCUGAUCGGGGGUACACGCCGGCUGCACAGCUGCCCUGGGAAGGGGUCCCGGACACUUGUACCCCCCGCCCCCCACAGCUGCCGACCUAGGAGUGGGGCCCCUCACCUGCCCACGCUGACCCCUUCUCCGGCUCCCUCCGCGUCGACUGCGCAGACUCCCCACCUCCCAGAGCUGGUCGGUGUCCUCAGGCCCCGGGGCCUCUGCCCGUGCCCCUCCGUCCCGGAGUGUCGGCUGCCGGGCGUCGCUUCCUCCGGGGUGCCCUCCCGCCCGCUAGCCGAGACCCCCUGACUUCACUGUCCCCCACGGUUGCCGUCGCGUCUGGGCCCGGUCGCCCUUCCCCAUGACGCUGAGCUGCCCGAAGCGAGCGGCCGCGUUCGUGCUCCCGCCACCGGCAGCGCCCAGCAGAGGCCCUUUCCGCCGUGUGAUCUCAGGCGGGCGCCGCGGCCACCACCAAAGCGGGGGAGACGGGACAUGCAGCUGGCAGAGCCGCAGGGGACCCUCCUGAAGAGCACGGAGAACGCUCGGGCCCCUGCCGGCGCGUGGCCUCCUCACUGUCACAGCCCCGAGGCGGGUACACCAGUAACACCGGACUCUCUCCGCCUCUGUCCUCCCCGGCGGCUGGAGGACGUUCUCCCGCUUGGGACGUUCUCGGAGGUGGCGGGUGACAGAGCUUGCGGGUGGUGCCCCAGGCCGUCCGGUGUCCAGCGGGGGCUCGGGACGCGCCCCCCUGGCCGCCCCCCUCCCUGGCCGCUGGCUGGAGAAGGCCUUCCCCCCCCCCCCCCCCGGAGAGGAACGGGUGGGGGUCCUGUGCGGCUGGAGCCCACCGCCUAAGAAGCUGCUAGAGACCGGAGUUUCACGGCCCGCAAAUGAACGCCGAUCCCGCCGACCACAGGCUUCCGACCGAUGCUGGCCGCGGCGUGAGAGCGGUGUUCCCACGUGCUGGGGGCCGGACCGCUGUGGCCGGCCACGUGGCCAUCCAGGGGACACCUGGUCCCCGCACGCACGGAUUCUGGCAGAUUAUCCACAUGCUCUCUGAAAGGUCGAGAAAGGGGCAGUCGGACAGAAGGAAACCGAAUCCGGGCCCACGAAACCGUGCGUGCCAAGGAAAAGUGAGAAUUUCCAGCAAGAAGAGGAGGGGAGACCGUAGCCCCGCGCAUACCUUCAUUUAGACUUCUAGCCUCCAAACGAGCGAGGACCCAUUCUGUUGCUUCGAGCCAUCUAGUCUGUGGUACUUUGUUUACAGUGGCCUUAGUAAACAAAUACAUGUAUAACCCUAAUUUAAAAUUAAAAAAAAAAUAGCGUGCACUAGA